rnacentral:rRNA from 1 species
UACGUAGGGUGCGAGCGUUAAUCGGAAUUACUGGGCGUAAAGGGUGCGCAGGCGGCGUCGCAAGUCAGGCGUGAAAUCCCCCGGCUUAACCUGGGAACUGCGUCUGAUACUGGGAGGCUUGAGUAUGGGAGAGGGAUGUAGAAUUCCAGGUGUAGCGGUGAAAUGCGUAGAUAUCUGGAGGAAUACCGGUGGCGAAGGCGGCAUCCUGGACCAUAACUGACGCUGAGGCGCGAAAGCUAGGGGAGCAAACGGG